GGUUGUAUAGUGUAGCGGUCAUCACACCAGAUUCUGAUUCCCUUAGAAUAUUCUGGUAACCCCGGUUCGAUUCCGGGUACGACCU
rnacentral:tRNA from 1 species